rnacentral:rRNA from 1 species
UCCUACGGGACGCAGCAGUGGGGAAUUGUUCGCAAUGGGCGCAAGCCUGACGACGCAACGCCGCGUGGAGGAUGAAGGUCUUCGGAUUGUAAACUCCUGUUGCCCGGGACGAAAUGCUUCGACCUAACACGUCGGAGUUUGACGGUACCGGGUGAGGAAGCCCCGGCUAACUCUGUGCCAGCAGCCGCGGUAAUACAGAGGGGGCGAGCGUUGUUCGGAAUUACUGGGCGUAAAGGGCGCGUAGGCGGCCUUCUAAGUCGAACGUGAAAUCCCCGGGCUCAACCCGGGAACUGCGUCCGAUACUGGAAGGCUUGAAUCCGGGAGAGGGAUGCGGAAUUCCAGGUGUAGCGGUGAAAUGCGUAGAUAUCUGGAGGAACACCGGUGGCGAAGGCGGCAUCCUGGACCGGCAUUGACGCUGAGGCGCGAAAGCCAGGGGAGCAAACGGGAUUAGAUACCCCGGU